AUUGAUGGCCAAACCUCCUGAUCAAAGCCUGAUCUCGUCCAAUCGCAUAAGCUAAGUAGGACUGGGCCUGGUUAGAACUUGGCUGGAACACCACUGGGAAUAUCAGGUGCCACAUUG
rnacentral:rRNA from 1 species